rnacentral:rRNA from 1 species
UACGUAGAGGGCAAGCGUUGUCCGGAUUUAUUGGGCGUAAAAGGCUUGUAGGUGGCCACGCCAAGUCGGAUGUGAAAUCUCCCGGCUCAACUGGGAGGGGUCAUUCGAUACUGGCGGGCUCGAGGCCGGUAGGGGGAAGUGGAAUUCCCGGUGUAGUGGUGGAAUGCGUAGAUAUCGGGAGGAAUACCAGUGGCGAAGGCGGCUUCCUGGACCGGUUCUGACACUGAGGAGCGAAAGCGUGGGGAGCGAUCCGG